GAGUGUAUAGCUCAGUGGUAGAGUACAUGCUUAGCAUGCACCAGGUCCUGGAUUCAAUCCCCAGUACCUCCA
rnacentral:tRNA from 1 species